rnacentral:misc_RNA from 1 species
GAAAUUCACAAAACAUGAGAUGGCCUAAAUGACAUUUUGUACUAAAAUAAAUAAACUCAAGAGUCAAAAAAAGAAAAAUCUCUCAAAGUUCACCUAUAAGCAAAUAUAUUUUUUAAAAGAAAUUUUGAGAAACAAUGCAAUAAUAAGCAGUGAAAACAUAAAAUGCACCCAGAUCAUCUAUAGAGCCAUCACACAAGGCAAGCUUCAAAAAGGCUUCCUACGAAUUUACAAGGAACUGAAUUCGCUAAAAUAAAUAAAAGAUAC